rnacentral:lncRNA from 1 species
AGGUUGAGCUUCCCAGAAGCUGACCCAGAGAUGGAAACUUCCAUGAGGGACAUUUAUUAGGAAUACUCUUGGGAUUAACACCUUUGGAAUAGAAGGAAAAUGAGAAACAAUUUGUGCAGAGAGAUAAGUUAGGCUGCAAAGCAGUCUCAACAAAGUCCCUGCAGAACUCUGAGGCUCCCUACCCAUAGGGAGACAGUCUGCCUGCUGGUCACCUCCUACUCAUCACUGGGAAUCACAGACAGAACAAGUGGUGGCAACACCGGCCUGAAGAUUCUGGACAACGGAGGCCGCGCCGGGUUUGGAGGCAUCCCACAGCCUCAGGCCGAGGACCCGCCGCGAAGCGCCGCCUCCGCGGGUUGACCCUCUGCAGCCGCCGUAGCGCAGAGACGAAUCCGCGCUCCCCCAGGCUGUCGCGCGAGCUCCCCGGAAGCUCCCACCUGAGCGGCGCAUCCUCAGGGCCUGGGCCUGGCCUCCUUGCCUGUGAGAUGGCACUGUGACGGUGCCCACCUCGUGGGGUGUGUGAGGGCCGAGUGAAAUCGUGCAUUUGCGGUCUGAAAUGCAGAAGACAGAAGAUGAGCUCUGGCUCUUCACCUGCAUGGCUGGUGGCAGUGUGGCCUCAGUCUUCUGGGGCUUGAGGAGCUCUGACACUGGUCAGGUCAGAGGUGCCCACUCACCCACUGCUGCCCGUAGCUGUCUUCCACAUCGUUGAUCCAGCGGUCAUCCCAGUCCACUCGGAGGCCCAACAGGUGAAUUGGGAGGAAGCCGUUCUCAGCCAGAAUCACAAAGUAAGUAAAGAAGCCUCCCAGGGCCUGGAUCAUUCCUAAGUUGGGAAAACAACCCAAUUACUAGAACCUCACACACAAGGGUACCUGUAUAGCCUUCAGCUGAUUACUGCAGCAGGCCUGGGAGAGCACAUAUGGAGGAGUGUUUCCCCCUGGUUGAUAAAAGCACAGGAAAGAAUUGCCUGGUCACUCACAGGCUAUGAGGGAUGGGAUGGAGGACCCCAGGCAUACACUCCAAUCUCAGGGCCCUCUGCUUUUUGAGUCACUUUUUGGAGCCUACACAAAGACACAUGUGCCUUGCUCUCAAAAUGCCCACCUGUUACUUGACCAGCUGCUUCUAAGGGUAUGACCUUUAGGGGAAAUCCACUUCCCUACUUUUUAAUCUCUGACAAAUGAUAACUUCUUUUCCAUCUUUCAAAAUUCCUACAUGCUGCCAUUUUUCUAGCCACUGUGGCACUUUCUGACUCUCCUCCCCACCUUCAGGACCCUCCUCCCCCUGGCAUCCAAUUUAACCACGCUGCUCCAAGUUCCUCAGGGCAGGGUUUCAUCCUAAACCACCAGAGACCUAGUCUUCCUUCCUCUCAAAAGCAGGCCUCCUUGGAGAAGGUCAGGAUGGGCCACCAGCCAAUUACUUUGUUGCCAACAACUGUCUAAUGAAUCUUUGCCAUAAUUUCCACAA